rnacentral:rRNA from 1 species
UACGUAGGGUGCAAGCGUUAAUCGGAAUUACUGGGCGUAAAGCGUACGCAGGCGGUUUUGUAAGUCUGUCGUGAAAGCCCCGGGCUCAACCUGGGAAUUGCGAUGGAGACUGCAAGGCUUGAAUCUGGCAGAGGGGGGUAGAAUUCCACGUGUAGCAGUGAAAUGCGUAGAGAUGUGGAGGAACACCGAUGGCGAAGGCAGCCCCCUGG